AUGUAGCAAUACAUGGCGAACUGCUCAGUAACACGUGGACAACCUGCCCUUAGGUUGGGUAUAAACCCGGGAAACUGGGUAUAAUACCCGAUAGGUCUCGAUUGCUGGAAUGCAUCGAGAUUUAAAGCUCCGGCGCCUAAGGAUGGGUCUGCGGCCUAUCAGGUAGUAGUGGGUGUAGCGUACCUACUAGCCUACGACGGGUACGGGUUGUGAGAGCAAGAGCCCGGAGAUGGAUUCUGAGACACGAAUCCAGGCCCUACGGGGUGCAGCAGGCGCGAAAACUUUACAAUGCUGGCAACAGCGAUAAGGGAACCUCGAGUGCCAGGUUACAAAUCUGGCUGUCGAGAUGCCUAAAAAGCAUUUCAUAGCAAGGGCCGGGCAAGACCGGUGCCAGCCGCC
rnacentral:rRNA from 1 species